rnacentral:rRNA from 1 species
UGGGGAAUUUUGGACAAUGGGCGAAAGCCUGAUCCAGCAAUGCCGCGUGUGUGAAGAAGGCCUUCGGGUUGUAAAGCACUUUUGUCCGGAAAGAAAUCCUUGGCUCUAAUACAGUCGGGGGAUGACGGUACCGGAAGAAUAAGCACCGGCUAACUACGUGCCAGCAGCCGCGGUAAUACGUAGGGUGCAAGCGUUAAUCGGAAUUACUGGGCGUAAAGCGUGCGCAGGCGGUUUGCUAAGACCGAUGUGAAAUCCCCGGGCUCAACCUGGGAACUGCAUUGGUGACUGGCAGGCUAGAGUAUGGCAGAGGGGGGUAGAAUUCCACGUGUAGCAGUGAAAUGCGUAGAGAUGUGGAGGAAUACCGAUGGCGAAGGCAGCCCCCUGGGCCAAUACUGACGCUCAUGCACGAAAGCGUGGGGAGCAAACAGGAUUAGAUACCCUGGUAGUCCACGCCCUAAAACGAUGUCAACUAGUUGUUGGGGGAUUCAUUUCCUUAGUAACGUAGCUAACGCGUGAAGUUGACCGCCUGGGGAGUACGGUCGCAAGAUUAAAACUUAAAGGAAUUGACGGGGUCAUA